GAGUUUGAUCAUGGCUCAGAUUGAACGCUGGCGGAAUGCUUUACACAUGCAAGUCACGGGGGCCCGCAAGGGCAACCGGCGAACGGGUGCGUAACACGUGAGCAAUUUGCCGAUUUCUGGGGGAUAGCCGGCCCAACGGCCGGGUAAUACCGCAUACGCUCAUCUGGGGGAGUCCCCGGGUGAGGGAAACCUCCGGGGGGAAAUCGAGGAGCUCGCGGCCUAUCGGCUAGUUGGCGGGGUAACGGCCCACCAAGGCGACGACGGGUAGCUGGUCUGAGAGGAUGGCCAGCCACAUUGGGACUGAGAGACGGCCCAGACUCCUACGGGAGGCAGCAGUGGGGAAUCUUGCGCAAUGGCCGAAAGGCUGACGCAGCGACGCCGCGUGUGGGAGGAAGCCCUUCGGGUGUAACCACUGUUGCCGGGACGAAUGCCCUUUUCCGAGGGGAGUGACGGUACCGGGUGAGGAAGCACCGGCUAACUCCGUGCCAGCAGCCGCCGUAAG
rnacentral:rRNA from 1 species